ensembl:miRNA MIR631 microRNA 631
GGGGAGCCUGGCUAGACCUGGCCCAGACCUCAGCUAUAUAAGCUGAUGAACUGAGUCAGGGAGCCAAGGCUCUCC